rnacentral:rRNA from 1 species
AGACCCGAAACCCGGUGAUCUAGCCAUGGGCAGGUUGAAGGUUGGGUAACACUAACUGGAGGACCGAACCGACUAAUGUUGAAAAAUUAGCGGAUGACCUGUGGCUGGGGGUGAAAGGCCAAUCAAACCGGGAGAUAGCUGGUUCUCCCCGAAAGCUAUUUAGGUAGCGCCUCGUGAAUUCAUCUCCGGGGGUAGAGCACUGUUUCGGCUAGGGGGCCAUCCCGGCUUACCAACCCGAUGCAAACUGCGAAUACCGGAGAAUGUUAUCACGGGAGACACACGGCGGGUGCUAACGUCCGUCGUGAAGAGGGAAACAACCCAGACCGCCAGCUAAGGUCCCAAAGUCAUGGUUAAGUGGGAAACGAUGUGGGAAGGCCCAGACAGCCAGGAUGUUGGCUUAGAAGCAGCCAUCAUUUAAAGAAAGCGUAAUAGCUCACUGGUCGAGUCGGCCUGCGCGGAAGAUGUAACGGGGCUAAACCAUGCACCGAAGCUGCGGCAGCGAACGUAUCACCCAAGACAACUUUACGGAGUUGACGAUUGACGGAGCGAAGCGACGUCAAAGCGUUCAUUAAAGUCGAGUUGGCUUAGGGAUACGUUCGUUGGGUAGGGGAGCGUUCUGUAAGCCUGUGAAGGUGUGUCGUGAGGCAUGCUGGAGGUAUCAGAAGUGCGAAUGCUGACAUAAGUAACGAUAAAGCGGGUGAAAAGCCCGCUCGCCGGAAGACCAAGGGUUCCUGUCCAACGUUAAUCGGGGCAGGGUGAGUCGACCCCUAAGGCGAGGCCGAAAGGCGUAGUCGAUGGGAAACGGGUUAAUAUUCCCGUACUUGGUGUUACUGCGAAGGGGGGACGGAGAAGGCUAUGUUGGCCGGGCGACGGUUGUCCCGGUUUAAGCGUGUAGGUGUGUGUUCCAGGUAAAUCCGGUUCACUUUAACACUGAGGCGUGACGACGAGGCACUACGGUGCUGAAGCAACAAAUGCCCUGCUUCCAGGAAAAGCCUCUAAGCAUCAGGUAACAUCAAAUCGUACCCCAAACCGACACAGGUGGUCAGGUAGAGAAUACCAAGGCGCUUGAGAGAACUCGGGUGAAGGAACUAGGCAAAAUGGUGCCGUAACUUCGGGAGAAGGCACGCUGACACGUAGGUGAAGUGAUUUACUCAUGGAGCUGAAGUCA